UGGCGCGCGACUUGAGCUUCGUGUCUCCGAUGAUUUUUCUCGAAGAAAAUGGUCGUCCUAUGGAGUUUUAUAUUAAGCCUUGUAGUUUGAAAAAGAAGCUACUACCUAUUAUUGAGAUUGGCGGCGGGACGCUCACUAGCGAACUAUCUACCUCAGAAACAGUUAUUAAGCUCACUGAUCCUAAAAAUCCAGUUGAAGGGUUUGUGUCUUCAGAUUUCAUUUUUGAUAGCGUAGAAAAAAAGUUUCUCCAGGAUAUCGAAGAUUAUAGAAUAAAGAGCAAAAAGAAAAAGGAUGCAGAGAAGGUGGUAAGACAGCAAGAUAAUGAAAAUGACUCGAACACUGUCAAUAAGCGAUCAAAUCGUAUAAUAGAGGUGGUGAGAUAUAAAGAAUUAUCUAACGAAGAUGAAAAACCAGGCUCUGCCAAGAAGAAGAAUAAAAAGAAACGAUUAAAGUAUACAGCUCAUGAUGACAAAGCAAUAUUAGAUUAUAUUGAGAAAGAGAAUGCAAAUAAAUUUAGGGUUCAAGGCAACUCACUAUGGAAAUCCAUGGCCUAUAAUAAAGUUACUAAUCACACUUGGCAGUCAAUGCGUAAACAUUACCUUGAGUUUCUUCAUGGAAAGAGAAAAAAGUGCCCAAAAGGCCAAAAAACUCUGGAAACAUACUCAGCAGGCAAAAGAAUGAGUUCUGCUCAAGGAUCUGAGUCUCCUAGAAAGAAGUCAAAGAGAUCAGGAUCCCAUUUGUCAAGGAAAGAAGAUUCUACUGAUUCAGAUAGUGACGUUGAAAUCAAUCUAUUAACUCCCCGACGAAGAAAAGAAAAUGCUGUCACAAGUGCUCAGCGUAAGGCAUCAGGCUCUAAUAAUGACAGUGAUGACCAACUACGUCAGAAAGCACUGGAAUCUGAUUAUGAUAGUGACGACGAACCACCUCAGAAAGCAAUGGAAUCUGAUGACGACACUGAUGACCAGCCACCGCGUCAAAUACCUGCAACAAGGUCUAAGCAGAAAUCAUCAGGCUCCACUGACGACCAGUCUUUGGAUAUACGUACUCUAACCAGAAGAAAUAAAAAACUAAUCGAAUCAGAUAAAGACACUGUUGAACAGACGUCAGGUAGACGAGCCAUAACCAGGCGUCAACUAAAAGCAUUAGACUCCAAUGACGACACUGACGACACUGAUGACCAGUCUUUGGCUCAACGUGCUUUAAACAGAAACCAUAAAAAACAAAUCGAAUCAGAUAAAGACACUGUUGAACAGACGUCAGGUAGACGAGCUAUAACCAGGCGUCAACAAAAAGCAUUAGACUCCAAUGACGACACUGACGAACAGCCUCUGGAACGGCGAGGUAUGACUAGAAGGCGCAAAAGGGUCAUGAAAUCAGAUGCUGGCCCAGAGGUUCAAGGCGUGACUAAAAGACAAGUAGAGAAUAAGCUAUCAGAAAGUGAAUCGGAUGACCACUCAUUGCCAGACAACAGCUUUGAUGUAUAUAGCCAGCAAGUGGCUCGACAAGUGACUCCAGUGUUUCGAUUGAAAGACAAGGACAAACAGGGAAGCCCCUUAACGAAGCGUCGAUAUCCAACCAGGACCAGGACCAGUGACAGUGCGGGCAGUGUCCCUUCUCCCAAAGGAAAAGCUAUAACCCGAAACACGGUCUCGGGUAUGGACCCCGAAAUUCGUGUCACCAUGGCAACAGACCACCAAGAUGUCAUCGAGUGGGACAGUGACACAGAUGACUUCGAUCAGAGAUUAUUAUCCGUAGCUAAAAAGGCUUCUUUUAGCCGUAGUCAUCAGGAAUCGCAUGAUAACGAUGAUAAAGGGUCUGAAGAUGAGACGUCCGCGAAAGAUACCCAGGAAGAUGAUGAGGAUGAAUUUAUUUUUAGACGACAAAACAGGAGAAAAAGAACGACAAGAAAUAACAAUCAGAGAAAAUCAAGUCUGGAAGAAAAGGGGUCAGAUAAUCGUGAGAAAACAUUUACGAUAGUCACAAGAGGGCAGUCCUCAACUGAAAAAUCUCCAACGGCGGCCCGAGUAAAUUCUGAAGCCCGAGUGAACUCCACAGCGUCACCUUCAAAAUCACCGCGACGAGGGAGAAAAACAGAGAUGRCACAGGAAACAUGCAGUAGAAACUUGUUUUGUGAUGACGACGACGAAGAAUCAACACCACGCCGGACAAAGGGGAAGACUAGGAAAGAUACGGAAUCAACUGUUACGGCCAAGACCCCUGAUCAUGGUAUCAUGUGGAAUUAUGUGGAGAAGAUGUCUGAGAAUUAUCUGAAGGUUGAGAGAUUGCCAUGCACCCAGGGGAUGACACGGGCACAGCUGUUACAUGCACUGUUUGUGUCGGAUGGUACUCUUGAAGAUACAGAAAACUACGUAAAGACAGGAAAACUCGCCAACGGAGCAAGUCCUUGGUCUAAAGCAGAAAACGAUGCCAUACUCGGUAACGAGAGAGAGGCCGUUAACACCAUUAUCAAGAAGAGAGGACGAAACAGUGUGUCAGAGCGAGGGUCUUUCCUCCGUGGCUGCAGAUAGGCUCCAUGCAUGAAACCUCCUUUUUGCAGCGACGUCAUUCUACAUCACUAUGUUAUGAGCUGGACGUGAAUGGGAAAUCCUUUAUGAAUUUCAGUCUGUGAAUCUAGGUGCUUGUAACAUCACAGCUAAGAGCGUAACAAUGAUCGUAGCAAGGGUGAUUAAUAGGACAAGACAUGCAGAGGGCCGUUGAUAAUAGCCUUUGUGAUCUCACUCUGAUUAAGUCCCGCUUGCAUAAAGCUCAAGAUAAGGAAGCUUUAUGCAACCAGGGUCUGGACGUCAAUGCCAAGAAGCAUGCGACUAUGGGUGGCCAAAGAUGUGCCCUAGCUGGUUGGAACUCUCCUAUUACCAACUAUUACUUCCCUUCCUUUUCCCUCUAAGGGAUACACCAGCAAUUUGAAGAAAACUAAAGAGUACAGGAUUGCGAUGAAUUUUAUUUGUCGCUAUAAGUAGAGGAAGGCCCUUGCUUCGUGCAAUAAAUAAACUUGUGCGCAGAGUGGUAAUACGAGCGACAUUCACUCGGCGACUUGCAACAAUGUUCCUCGACAAAAUUCAAUAUUUUAUCGCCCGCAUAAACUUUAAACAUUCUAAAUACUGCGCAUAUCAUUAUAAAAAAAGAAUAUUUGUUUAUAUUUGCGCAGUAUUUAGAAUGGACCUUCUUAUUAAGUUCUCUAUUGCGCAGAGUUAGCUUCGAUUUUGUGUAGAAUAUUCAUGUGUUCCAGUGGAGGUCCGUUAAAUUUCAACGUAUAUUGUUGAAGCUGGGCAUUCUUAUCUUUAUAGUUGAUAUUUGUGAAUAUUUAGACAGUGCUAACCCUGAGUAAAUGGGUCUGUAAUCAAGGGGUUCUAGGAAGGUCUAUUCUGAAGGCACUUCUUGCCUACCUUGUUGCAAGCCUUGAAUGACAAGCCCUUGUUUCAUACGAUCAGCGGCUUCUUUGAGCCCAACGAUCCUUGCGCAGUAGUUCAAAAUGAAUACCUACAGCAAAACAGGAUUUACUAGUAUACAACAGAUUUUCUUUGGUUAUCCAAUGUGGCCUGUUUACUCUCGACUCCAGAGCCCUUUCACCCUUACUGCGCAUGCUCAACACAUGCGCAGUAUGAAUUAGAGAGCUCUAGGGUCGAGGUGUACGGUACGUGGCUAUAACCCCUGGCUAGUUUGCUUACCUUUGCCCAAAUUGGUAGAGUCGCUGAGGAAUUUUCAGGAUAGUAUAUUCUCAUCAACAAACACGCUACAAACAUGGCCAGCGAUACUUCUAUGAUAGUGCAUGCGUAGUAGACUCCAAGUAAGGGAAUGGCAUUGGAUGUUGGGGGAAGCUUAUCCUGUGGGACAAAUAAUGUAAUAAUUCAGUUCACUUGUAAAAUGAAUGAAAGGCGAGAAUAGAUCUUUCAUGACAGCCA